rnacentral:rRNA from 1 species
GAUGAACGCUGGCGGCGUGCCUAAUACAUGCAAGUCGAGCGAACAGACGAGGAGCUUGCUCCUCUGACGUUAGCGGCGGACGGGUGAGUAACACGUGGAUAACCUACCUAUAAGACUGGGAUAACUUCGGGAAACCGGAGCUAAUACCGGAUAAUAUAUUGAACCGCAUGGUUCAAUAGUGAAAGACGGUUUUGCUGUCACUUAUAGAUGGAUCCGCGCCGCAUUAGCUAGUUGGUAAGGUAACGGCUUACCAAGGCAACGAUGCGUAGCCGACCUGAGAGGGUGAUCGGCCACACUGGAAGUGAGACGCGGUCCAGACUCCUACGGGAGGCAGCAGUAGGGAAUGUUCGGAGAUGGGCGAAAGCCUGACGGAGGAACGCCGCGUGAGUGAUGAAGGUCUUCGGAUCGUAAAACUCUGUUAUUAGGGAAGAACAAAUGUGUAAGUAACUAUGCACGUCUUGACGGUACCUAAUCAGAAAGCCACGGCUAACUACGUG